GCCGGAUUCGCUCCGCGCCGCCGCCAAUCCAGGCCGGCUGCUGCUGUCCCAACCUCGAGGCGACGACGACGGCCGGCGGUCUGCAUUUACGAAGUUGAUGGUUCCAGUCGAGAGCCUACAAGAUUUAUCCACAAGGCUACACAAGCUAGAUUGAUGCACUGAGCUUGCUUCUCGUGUAAUUACCAUAGGCGGCGUAGGGGAGCAGUUGAUGUUGUCAAUGAAUGGAUAUCACCUAAAGUAAGUGAAGAGGAAGAUAAGGCAAUGGGCCACACCAGCUGCAUUACUUUCUGAAGAAAUGUAGACUAUCACAAGGCACGUGAGCAGCAGCAGAACGAGGAGUAGCGGGAGCAGAGGAGGACCAGGGAUGAGGUCAAGCUUCGGUGACACUUGGGUGGCGGCUCCGCCGGUUUUUGGUCACCGGGGAGCUCGGGCCUAGCCGGCCAGCAGCACGCGCGGAGCAGAGAGCAGCCGGCUUGGGCGCGGCGCAUGUGGAGCAAAGAGCAGUUGCGGGCGAGGUCGAUCACGACGGGGGCGAUGGUGAUCCCAGAUCGAUCGAUCGAUGUGUUUGUUGAUCGAUCCCUAGACGGGUACAACGGCGACCUGAUUGCUCAACGGCUGAAGGCGGAGACGGGAAGACUGGAGCUUGAAAUUCAGAUUGAGAAAACUAUUUCGAAGCGUUUUCAGUGUUUUGGUACUUUUUUGCAAAAAAACUAAUUUGUACUGUGGCUCCGACAAUUUCCUUGGGACGGAGGGAGUAAUC